rnacentral:rRNA from 1 species
AUUGAACGCUGGCGGCAUGCCUUACACAUGCAAGUCGAACGGCAGCACGGGUGCUUGCACCUGGUGGCGAGUGGCGAACGGGUGAGUAAUACAUCGGAACAUGUCCUGUAGUGGGGGAUAGCCCGGCGAAAGCCGGAUUAAUACCGCAUACGAUCUACGGAUGAAAGCGGGGGACCUUCGGGCCUCGCGCUAUAGGGUUGGCCGAUAGCUGAUUAGCUAGUUGGUGGGGUAAAGGCCUACCAAGGCGACGAUCAGUAGCUGGUCUGAGAGGACGACCAGCCACACUGGGACUGAGACACGGCCCAGACUCCUACGGGAGGCAGCAGUGGGGAAUUUUGGACAAUGGGCGAAAGCCUGAUCCAGCAAUGCCGCGUGUGUGAAGAAGGCCUUCGGGUUGUAAAGCACUUCUGUCCGGAAAGAAAUCCUUGGCUCUAAUACAGUCGGGGGAUGACGGUACCGGAAGAAUAAGCACCGGCUAACUACGUG